GACCUGGUGGUGUAAUGGGUAACAUGCCUGCAUAUUGCAUUCUUGUACUUGUACUUAGGUAGCAAUUUGAAGUAUGCGGGAGAUCCCUGUUCAACUCAGGGCUGGAUCA